rnacentral:rRNA from 1 species
AAAACGCCCUUAACUCCCCUCUAGGGACAAGGAGCUGGUAUCAGGCACGAAAAUCUGCCCAAGACACCUAGCUACGCCACACCCACAAGGGAACUCAGCAGUGAUUAACAUUGAAAAUAAGCGACAGCUUGACUCAGUUAAAGUAAAUAGAGCCGGCAAAUCUGGUGCCAGCCGCCGCGGUUACACCACGUGGCUCAAAUUGAUCUCUAUCGGCGUAAAGCGUGAUUAAAGUUACUUUCAAACUGGGGUUAAACCUAAACUAAGCUGUGACACGCUUGUUCAUAAGAAAACCAAAAACGAAAGUUACCCCAAUCCUUCAACUUGAACUCACGACAGCUAGGAAACAAACUGGGAUUAGAUACCCCACUAUGCCUAGCCGUAAACUUUUAUUUACACCCCCCAUCGCCAGGGAACUACGAGCAAAGCUUAAAACCCAAAGGACUUGACGGUACCCCACAUCCACCUAGAGGAGCCUGUCCUAUAAUCGAUAAUCCCCGUUUAACCUCACCAUUUUUAGUUUAUCAGCCUGUAUACCUCCGUCGUCAGCUUACCACGUGAGCGACCAUAAGUGAGCUUAAUGCCCGUUCGACAACACGUCAGGUCAAGGUGCAGCAAAUAAAAUGGGAAGAGAUGGGCUACACUCUCUAACCUAGAAAACACGAAAGACUAUUUAUGAAACCCUAGUCAGAAGGCGGAUUUAGUAGUAAAAAGAGACCAGAAAGCUCUUUUUAACCCGGCACUGGGGUGUGUACACACCGCCCGUCACCCUCUUCAAAGCCCACAAACAGUUCUUAACUCAUCAUUGCUAUUCAGAAG